GAGGUACAGUAAGCAGGUGUAGCAGGUCUGAGUGGCCAGGGGACUGGCAUGUGGUGUGGUUACCCCAUGGCUAACGCGUAGAGGUCAGAGGUCGUGUGGUUACCCCAUGGCUAACACAUAGAGGUCAGAGGUCGUGUGGUGUGGUUACCCCAUGGCUAACACAUAGAGGUCAGAGGUCGUGUGGUGUGGUGUGGUUACCCCAUGGCU